rnacentral:rRNA from 2 species
AAUCUCCUCCCAACGGAUCUCUUGGCUCUCGCAACGAUGAAGAACGCAGCGAUCCGCGAUACGUCCUGGAAGCCGCCGUGAACCAUCAAUUUUCGAACGCACAUUGCAUACAGGGAGGGUGGGGUGAGUC